GGUUUGGUGGUCUAGUAGUAUGAUUCACCCUUAGGGCUUCAAUCGGGCGCUUGGGUGAGGUCCCGGGUUCAAUUCCCGGCCAGACCC